UACAAUUUAGUUUAGGAUGAACAGAAAUUUUUGGAGUUUUAGGAGAUGGUUUGACUCCAUUAAUUGUAA
rnacentral:tRNA from 1 species